rnacentral:rRNA from 1 species
CGUCGGGAAACUGACGCUAAUACCGCAUAAUGUCUCCGGACCAAAGAUUUAUCGCCUAAGGAUUAGCCCGCGUUGGAUUAGCUAGUUGGUGAGGUAAAGGCUCACCAAGGCUACGAUCCAUAGCUGGUCUGAGAGGAUGAUCAGCCACACUGGGACUGAGACACGGCCCAGACUCCUACGGGAGGCAGCAGUGAGGAAUAUUGGACAAUGGGGGCAACCCUGAUCCAGCCAUGCCGCGUGAGUGAUGAAGGCCUUCGGGUUGUAAAGCUCUUUUAGAUGUGACGAUGAUGACGGUAACAUCAGAAAAAG